UACAUUGUAGUGUACGAGGCACGAGAGUUUUUGAUACUCUAAGAAAUAGUUUAACUCUAUUGAAUGUAA
rnacentral:tRNA from 1 species